rnacentral:lncRNA from 1 species
UUUUUUUUUUUUCCUUCUUAGUCGUGUGUACAUCAUUGGGAAUGGAGGGAAAUAAAUGACUGGAUGGUCGCUGCUUUUUAAGUUUCAAAUUGACAUUCCAGACAAGCGGUGCCUGAGCCCGUGCCUGUCUUCAGAUCUUCACAGCACAGUUCCUGGGAAGGUGGAGCCACCAGCCUCUCCCUGACAAGCAAAGUGGAUCAGCAAAGGCUGCAGUCACCAGCAUCUUUUCCAACCUUAAUGAACUGUAUCCUCAAAAGAACACUAUCAGACUGGCUCUGCCGACUUCCAGUUCUGGAACAAGAUGGUUAAACUCAUUUUUCCCUGCUCUGCUCCUCUAAAUACAACUAAGUACCUUGGAAACUAUUCAGCAGACAAUGAUAAAGGGCUCUGAAAGCUAGAAGAAAAGGUGUACUUGCAAGAAACCUCAGGACUUGAGUAACAGCAACAUGUCUUGGACGAGCCUGAGGAUGUCUACAAGUGGAAGAAAAGAAGCCACUGGAGCAGAAGGUGGGGAGGAUAAAAUUUGGAGCAAGAUUCUCAAGGAAGCAACAAGAUCCUAAGCUCACCAAGCUCCUGUAUCUACUGGAAAAUGGAAGUCCAGCCUUACCAACUUGUGAACCUUGUCUGAAGGGAGCCAGGGCCUGCCAAUGGAACCACCUCCAGGAGCUGCAACUGCUGUUGUCAUUAAUACCAUUGUGUCUAUUUUUUGAGAGAGAUAAACUUUUCAUGGUGUUACAUUUUGGAAAAAAAAAAAAAAGACUAGGUGAACAGUCAGGUAGGAAAGCAGCAUAACAGUCCCUUAAAUUCUGAUCAUGUAGGACAUUCUUCUUUGCCCUGGGCCUGGGAAAAUGCAGCAUGUUCCAGAGCAAAAGUCCUAAUGAGGGGAACUAAACCAGUGGGACCCAAACCAAUGUCCUGGCUCACUGAGGACCCGUUAGAACCAAAUCUCUGGGUGUGGACAGGCUCCCAUACUUUUCAAAAAUUCCCCUGAUGACUAAUGAACAACCAGAGGUAAGAACCAGUGGCCCAGAGGAAUAACCAGCCCAGCUGUUGUACGAGCUCGCUAAGCUGGCUCAGGUCAAUGUUGAAUUCUCUGCUAGGCAGCUCCUCAUAAGAACUGGCAGAGAUGGUUCUUACACAACAACAGGUGACAACUCCAGACUCUGCCGGAAGUUCCAGGAUCUGGGUUCCCGGACAAUGCAUGACACUCAGUCCAGCAUUGCAGGUGGAAGAGCGACGGUGAAAAGACCAAAGUCAAUUAAAAUGUGUUAACCAAAACAGGAAACAUGAGUGAGGUGAUUGAGAGUGUGUUUAACUUAGAUGUGUGAUUUUAUCAAUACUUUCAUUGUUCAAAAACUCUUAUUUUUUAAAGAUAUUUUCAAAACAAAUCCAAACUUUACUUUUCAUUCCAAAUUCGUGUUCCGUCUAUACUUGCAUUUGGGGAAAGAUUGAAACAAAACACAAA